GACGAACGCUGGCGGCGUGCCUAAUACAUGCAAGUCGAGCGAAGUUUUUCUGGUGCUUGCCCUAGAAAAACUUAGCGGCGAACGGGUGAGUAACACGUAAAGAACCUGCCUCAUAGACUGGGACAACUAUUGGAAACGAUAGCUAAUACCGGAUAACAGCAUUAACUGCAUGGUUGAUGUUUAAAAGUUGGUUUUGCUAACACUAUGAGAUGGCUUUGCGGUGCAUUAGCUAGUUGGUGGGGUAAAGGCCUACCAAGGCGACGAUGCAUAGCCGACCUGAGAGGGUGAUCGGCCACACUGGGACUGAGACACGGCCCAGACUCCUACGGGAGGCAGCAGUAGGGAAUCUUGCGCAAUGGGCGAAAGCCUGACGGAGCAACGCCGCGUGAGUGAAGAAGGAUUUCGGUUCGUAAAGCUCUGUUGUUAGGGAAGAAUGAGUGUGUAGUAACUAUACACAGUAGAGACGGUACCUAACCAGAAAGCCACGGCUAACUACGUG
rnacentral:rRNA from 1 species